UACGUAGGGAGCAAGCGUUGUCCGGAAUCAUUGGGCGUAAAGCGCGCGUAGGUGGCCUCAUAAGUCCGCUGUGAAAGUCAAAGGCUCAACCUUUGAAAGCCGGUGGAUACUGUGAGGCUAGAGUACGGAAGAGGCGAGUGGAAUUCCCGGUGUAGCGGUGAAAUGCGCAGAUAUCGGGAGGAACACCAGUAGCGAAGGCGGCUCGCUGGGCCAUUCCUGACGCUGAGACGCGAAAGCUAGGGGAGCGAACAGG
rnacentral:rRNA from 1 species